GAUGAACGCUGGCGGCGUGCCUAAUACAUGCAAGUCGAGCGAACGGACGAGAAGCUUGCUUCUCUGAUGUUAGCGGCGGACGGGUGAGUAACACGUGGAUAACCUACCUAUAAGACUGGGAUAACUUCGGGAAACCGGAGCUAAUACCGGAUAAUAUUUUGAACCGCAUGGUUCAAAAGUGAAAGACGGUCUUGCUGUCACUUAUAGAUGGAUCCGCGCUGCAUUAGCUAGUUGGUAAGGUAACGGCUUACCAAGGCAACGAUGCAUAGCCGACCUGAGAGGGUGAUCGGCCACACUGGAACUGAGACACGGUCCAGACUCCUACGGGAGGCAGCAGUAGGGAAUCUUCCGCAAUGGGCGAAAGCCUGACGGAGCAACGCCGCGUGAGUGAUGAAGGUCUUCGGAUCGUAAAACUCUGUCAUUAGGGAAGAACAUAUGUGUAAGUAACUGUGCACAUCUUGACGGUACCUAAUCAGAAAGCCACGGCUAACUACG
rnacentral:rRNA from 1 species